UUAAAAAGCUCGUAGUUGGAUUUCGGAGUGGGCCAGUUGGUGCCGCCGCAAGGUGUGUUACUGACUGGUCUGCUCUUCUUCGCAAAGACUGCGUGUGCUCUUGAGUGAGUGUGCGUAGGAUUUACAACGUUUACUUUGAAAAAAUUAGAGUGUUCAAAGCAGGCUAU
rnacentral:rRNA from 1 species